AUACGGAGGGUGCAAGCGUUAAUCGGAACUACUGGGCGUAAAGCGUACGUAGGCGGUUCGUUAAGUUAGAUGUGAAAGCCCCGGGCUUAACCUGGGAACUGCAUUUAAAACUGGCGAACUAGAGUUGAGUAGAGGGGAGUGGAAUUUCAGGUGUAGCGGUGAAAUGCGUAGAGAUCUGAAGGAACACCAGUGGCGAAGGCGACUCCCUGGACUCAAACUGACGCUGAGGUACGAAAGCGUGGGUAGCAAACGGGAUUAGAAACCCCAGUAGUCC
rnacentral:rRNA from 1 species